rnacentral:rRNA from 1 species
GACGAACGCUGGCGGCGUGCUUAACACAUGCAAGUCGAACGAUGAAGCCGGAGCUUGCUCCGGUGAAUUAGUGGCGAACGGGUGAGUAACACGUGAGUAACCUGCCCUUGACUCUGGGAUAACUGCUAGAAAUGGUAGCUAAUACCGGAUACGACCCUCGGAGGCAUCUUCAGGGGGUGGAAAGAAUUUCGGUCAAGGAUGGACUCGCGGCCUAUCAGCUAGUUGGUGAGGUAAUGGCUCACCAAGGCGACGACGGGUAGCCGGCCUAAGAGGGUGACCGGCCACACUGGGACUGAGACGCGGCCCAGACUCCUACGGGAGGCAGCAGUGGGGAAUAUUGCACAAUGGGCGCAAGCCUGAUGCAGCAACGCCGCGUGAGGGAUGACGGCCUUCGGGUUGUAAACCUCUUUUAGUAGGGAAGAAGCGAAAGUGACGGUACCUGCAGAAAAAGCACCGGCUAACUACGUGCCAGCAGCCGCAGUAA